CUCGCGCCGGCUCACACUAACAGAGGCAAGCGGUAACAGAGGACAGGCUCGUUUCUCCGUCUUACCGGAGCGCGCUCUCUCGCUCCUUCUCUCUUUCCCUCUCUCUCCCUCCCUCUCCCUCCCCGUGUCCGUGCUGCAGAGACUGGUAUUACCUACUGGAGUUGUCGCUCGCGCCGGGCGGCCGGUGCAGCGCGAGGAAAGAAAGAGUAGAGAGCAAAGGGGAAAGGUGUUUCACCAGCCGAGCGAUUUAUUUUCUAAAAGUAAAGGACGCUGUGGACGAAAAAACAUCAAGGUUUAAUUGGCUCACUGGUCAUUUUGAAUUCCCUCCCGCCGCUGUAGAGACAAGAGAACCCUUUGAUCUGUCUUCACCGCAGCCGACACUUCGUUCACCUCACUCGUGUGUUGUUCUGACAGCCGCGCGCGCCGUGCCGCCUUGGAUAUAUUGUCCUCGAGCCUCCCCGGGUUGGUCCACGCGCAGCGCUGCAUUUAACAAAACAUCGGCCACAAUUUAAAAUGUAAAUCACUCCACGGGUAAAGAAAGAAAAAACACUGUCUUUUGAGGGACGGUUCAUUGGGAAGUCAGUAAAGUAGUGGCGCGGACUGAGCGUCAAACGCGGUGCUCUAGUUUUUUUUCUUGUUAUGAUUUUUUGAUCAAUUUUAACGUUUAAAUCGAUACGCGGAAGAGGAGGAGGAAGUUUUUGUUUGUGGGAAAAGUGGAAGGAAACAAUUGCAGCUACACGACGGUGGCUGGAAACUGGAAGAGGAGGGUCCCCUACGCUGGGACGAACAGCGCUUUGUACAACUGUACGGUCCUGAUCGACUGAAGCUUCAACACCAGAGUCCCCUCUGCAUUACACCUGCCAGCACAGUUUUGGAUGCACAGAAGGGAAUGACAGGACUUGGCAGCAGACCAGUGGCAUUCAACUGCUAGACCACUCAACAAGUUGGUAGGUGGCACUCGUCUCUAACCCUCUCACUGUCUCUCCAUCUGUGUCUCUUGUGUUUCUCACUGGAUCACUGCUUGGCAUUGUUGAUCUGGC